AUUAGCAGAGAUGAGCCAGCUGUAAUGGGUAAGUCUAUAAACAAGCAGUAAAUACCACUUUGACGAAACCCUUGUAAACCGAACUCGUUCUUACCAGACAGGCGAAUACAGGACAAAACUACCCCGGACAGCUUCUCUCUGGUCUAGGCGCCAUCCCUUAUGGUCUUCCUUCAAGCCAACAACUAUAUAUCUUAGAAUAUAAAUAGAAACUAUCAAUCUUAUCCGCUACGCCUACAUUUGACACAGGACCACCACACUACUAGUUGGGGCUGGAAACAAGGCUGUACCAUCCGCUCACUACGAGUAAUCUGGGCAAUAAGCUAUAAGGCUGUUAGUAUAAGGCAACAGUUUCAUCUACUAAACAACUAUGAGUUAACCACUCCCCUCGACCUAGACCAAUUACUAGUGAAAUGCUCGAUUGCGGGAAACCCUUGAUCUGACCUGACCCGUGUCUUCAUCUGACCUACAUCUCUAUCUAUAUCUAUAUCUAUAUUUCUACCUAUAUCUAUAUCUAUAUCCAACACUCCUAGAGAAGCUCAACGAAUCUAUUUGUAGCCCCGGUGAACAAAGCACUAAGACCAACCCUAGAAACGAGCCGCUCCUGCCGCUACACAUUAGUAGUGACUUGCCUGGUGAACUGCAAUGAUCUGG
rnacentral:lncRNA from 1 species